AGCGAACGUUAGCGGCGCGCCUAACACAUGCAAGUCGCACGAGAAAGGGAGCAAUCCCCGGUACAGUGGCGCACGGGUGAGUAACACGUAGAUGACCUUCCCUGGAGUGGUGGAUAACCUGCCGAAAGGCGGGCUAAUACAGCAUGGGACCACAUGGUUUUGACCGAGUGGUGAAAGCGGGCCUCUGUUCACAAGCUCGCGCUCUGGGAUGGGUCUGCGUCCCAUCAGCUAGUUGGUGAGGUAAUGGCUCACCAAGGCAUCGACGGGUAGCUGGUCUGAGAGGAUGACCAGCCACACUGGAACUGAGACACGGUCCAGACUCCUACGGGAGGCAGCAGUGGGGAAUCUUGCGCAAUGGGCGAAAGCCUGACGCAGCGACGCCGCGUGGGUGAUGAA
rnacentral:rRNA from 1 species